AAAUUCAUACUGGAAAGAAACACUGCACAUGAGAAGAAUGUGGUAAAGCUUUUACUUGGUCCUCAACCCUUACUGUACAAAGGAGAAUUCAUACAGACAGCUCUCCAAAUGCUCCUUUUUUCAAAAUACCCACGUAUCUGAGAAAGAAACAGAGCCACAGAGAAAAAUUACUUGGUCACAGUAGUGGAGCCAGUUUUAAAACACAGGCAACUUUGACUCCAGAGGAAACACUUUAUUACAGUAAAUACCCUCCUAAAACAAAAUAAUUGUCUUCGCCCAUUCUUAGUACAUUUUU